UUCGCCUUGCUGUUUGCCAGGGUCACCGUGAAUCGUGGCCCGAUGCUGUAGAUCCCAGAUCCGCUACAUCGUUGCACCUCGCUUACUCCUUGCAACCAGCACCUCGCCGCGAAAGCGGUAUUUCAGAAAACUAGUUCCAAGGAGCAAGAAAAUGUCGAACCGUGAAACCGGUACCGUCAAGUGGUUCAACGAUGCCAAGGGCUUUGGCUUCAUUUCCCGUGAGAAUGGCGAGGACGUGUUCGUUCACUUCCGCGCGAUCCAGGGUCAGGGCUUCAAGUCCCUGCAGGAAGGCCAGAAGGUCAGCUUCACCGUCACCCAGGGCCAGAAGGGCCUGCAGGCUGACGCGGUCGAAGCGCUGUAAGCAUCGAUCGACUGCAGCUGCUUCGGCAGCCGCACGAGAUACCAGGAAAACCCGGCUUCGGCCGGGUUUUUCUUU
rnacentral:sRNA from 1 species